rnacentral:rRNA from 1 species
UACGGAGGGCGCAAGCGUUGUUCGGAAUCACUGGGCGUAAAGCGCGUGUAGGCGGCUUGGUAAGUCGGGUGUGAAAGCCCGGAGCUCAACUCCGGAACUGCACUCGAAACUGCCUCGCUCGAGUCCCGGAGAGGGUGGUGGAAUUCCCGGUGUAGAGGUGGAAUUCGUAGAUAUCGGGAGGAACACCAGUGGCGAAGGCGGGCACCUGGACGGUGACUGACGCUGAGACGCGAAAGCGUGGGGAGCAAACAGG